rnacentral:misc_RNA from 1 species
GAAAUGCGAUAAGUAAUGUGAAUUGCAGAAUUCAGUGAAUCCUCGAAUCUUUGAACGCACCUUGCGCUCCUUGGUAUUCCUUGGAGCAUGCCUGUUUGAGUAUCAUGAAAUCUUCAAAGUAAAUCUUUUGUUAACUCAAUUGGUUUCUACUUUGGUAUUGGAGGUCUUUGCAGCUUCACACCUGCUCCUCUUUGUUCAUUAGCUGGAUCUCAGUGUUAUGCUUGGUUCCACUCGGCGUGAUAAGUUAUCUAUCGCUGAGGACACUGUAAAAGGUGGCCAAGGUAAAUGCAGAUGAACCGCUUCUAAUAGUCCAUUGACUUGGACAAUACUUUUAUGAUCUGAUCUCAAAUCAGGUAGGACUACCCGCUGAACUUAAGC